AACACCCAAACCAGACCCUAUCUUCACGGAUUGACAUCGAUGAGGUUGUUUAUGUGUUCCUCAUGAGUCCAGAUGGUCAUCCAUGCCCUUAGUUUGACGUGAAGACCUUGUUUUCCCGAGAACCAGAAAUCCCAGUUUUGAGGCAAUGUUCAUGUGAUCGUGAAUGUGAAGUUUUUAGGAGAUUUUAAGCUACUAGUGAGCCUUAGGACGUCUUUGUGAAGCUUGGAGUAGAAAAAUGAAGUGUUUUGGACGUCGGGAAGUUGAGUUUGGCAAGUUUCAAGUUUGGCCGGAUUAUCAAGGUUUCUCUGGCGAAAUCUCAUGGAUUUCAGGACUUUAAAUUGGUAAGGUUUUGUUCUACUCAUUGUAAGCUUCAUUUUGGUACAAAGUUUGUGAAUUUUGGUUGAGAAUCGAAGAAGAUAUGAAGGUUUGAUUAUUUUCCCAGUUUCUAGCUAUAGCAGCGGCACCGGCGAACCAAAGAAGAAGGAGAAGAAUAUUUCGUCAAAGUUGACAGAAUAUUCUGACGCCGUCAGGUAUAAUUAACGGCAUAUUCUAGUUUUUAACAGAAUAUUCCCUAACGCCGUUAGGGAAUCCGUUUGGUGUGCUAGGCACGUGCCUGCAUGUGAACCGCGUGUCUGGCCAUGCCUUGGCCGGUGCGUGAGGGCGCGUGGGGUCAUGAAUUUUUUUUCUAAAAAUAUGGGGAUAUUUUUGAGGUUGAGUAGAUCAUGGUGGUAUAUUCAAAUACCCCAUUUGAGCAAUGUAUGAGAAGUUAUUUCCUAGUUUUGUGUAUGUGCUUAAAUAACGUUUAUUCAGUUAUUUCGCAUAUAGGUGAGACAUAUCUUGAGGACGAGCACCAUCAAUCAAGGUUUGGGGGCUAUGACCCUUCGACAUAUCACUGAGUUGGAUUUUGGUUUUCCGUAUAUACCUAUAUACUUGAGAUUUUUCCCAGAAAAUGAAUUUGAAUGAUUAUACGUUUUGAAAUGCCAUGCAAAGUAUCUGCCUAUUUUAUUUAUGCAUUAGUAGUUGCAUAUAUUUAUGAUUGGUAUAGCAGACGCUCAGGUAAGUGCCAGGUAAGUUCAUAAAUUAAAGAUAUAAGAUUGCUUCAGUUAUGCGAGAUAAGAUGUGAUGUAUUGAGAGCUCAUAAACCUGCAUCCUGGUGUUAGUGCUUUUGCCCAGAGUUAGGGCACAGUUCUUCAUGUGAUGUUCACCUCCCGCACCAUAUGCUCACCUUGGAUCCAAGUUAGGUGCACAGGCUUGUCGUACAGACCAUUUUAGGUGGUUUCGACUCGUAGGUGACCCGCGAUUAUUCGCACAACCUUCAUGUGAUCAUAGCACUAGAGCAUAUUUAUUUCACACCUAGUCUUGUCGCACAGACCACUUUAGGUGGUUUGGACUCGUGUUCAAGAUUUGAUUUGAUGUGAUUGAGAUUGAUUAUGAGCUAUAGACUCAGCCGUACAGAUUGAGUUAGAGGGAUUUGGCUGAUGCGAUAUUUGACAUUGAUAUAUUUGUCUAGAUUACUCAUGGCAUUGCAUUGAGAUACUCUGGCAUGGUAUACUUCUAUGGAUUUUCAUCUCGAGUAUGAUUUAUGAUACAACUUAUUAUUACUAUUAUUUUCUGGGAAAUUAUACAGGUUUUACGGUGAGGGGUUAGAACUUUUGAGAAAUGAAAUAAUUUUGAAAAGCUUUGUUUUUGCCCACUCACACUUUCUGUUUUGUGCCCCUCCAGAUUUUAGGUAGAAGUGCUUUGGUGGCUCACGGGGAUUUCAAUGGUAGUUCUGACAGAACAUCAUAAAUGUAGGAUCACCAU
rnacentral:lncRNA from 1 species